rnacentral:rRNA from 1 species
GACGAACGCUGGCGGCGCGCUUAACACAUGCAAGUCGAACGGUAAGGCCCUCCGGGGUACACGAGUGGCGAACGGGUGAGUAACACGUGGGUGAUCUGCCCUGCACUUCGGGAUAAGCCUGGGAAACUGGGUCUAAUACCGGAUAGGACUCCUGCCUGCAUGGGUGGGGGUGGAAAGCUUUUGCGGUGUGGGAUGGGCCCGCGGCCUAUCAGCUUGUUGGUGGGGUGAUGGCGUACCAAGGCGACGACGGGUAGCCGGCCUGAGAGGGUGACCGGCCACACUGGGACUGGGAGACGGGCCGGACUCCUACGGGAGGGAGCAGUGGGGAAUAUUGCACAAUGGGGGCAAGGCUGAGGCAGCGACGCCGCGUGAGGGAUGACGGCCUUCGGGUUGUAAACCUCUUUCAGCACAGACGAAGCGCAAGUGACGGUAUGUGCAGAAGAAGGACCGGCCAACUACGUGCCAGCCGCCGCCGUAA